GACACGGUCCAAACUCCUACGGGAGGCAGCAGUGAGGAAUAUUGGUCAAUGGACGGAAGUCUGAACCAGCCAAGUAGCGUGCAGGAUGACGGCCCUAUGGGUUGUAAACUGCUUUUAUGUGGGGAUAAAGUGAGCUACGUGUAGUUUAUUGCAGGUACCACAUGAAUAAGGACCGGCUAAUUCCGUGCCAGCAGCCGCGGUAAUACGGAAGGUCCAGGCGUUAUCCGGAUUUAUUGGGUUUAAAGGGAGCGUAGGCUGGAGAUUAAGUGUGUUGUGAAAUGUAGACGCUCAACGUCUGAAUUGCAGCGCAUACUGGUUUCCUUGAGUACGCACAACGUUGGCGGAAUUCGUCGUGUAGCGGUGAAAUGCUUAGAUAUGACGAAGAACUCCGAUUGCGAAGGCAGCUGACGGGAGCGCAACUGACGCUUAAGCUCGAAGGUGCGGGUAUCAAACAGGAUUAGAUACCCUGGUAGUCCGCACAGUAAACGAUGGAUGCCCGCUGUUGGUACCUGGUAUCAGCGGCUAAGCGAAAGCAUUAAGCAUCCCACCUGGGGAGUACGCCGGCAACGGUGAAACUCAAAGGAAUUGACGGGGGCCCGCACAAGCGGAGGAACAUGUGGUUUAAUUCGAUGAUACGCGAGGAACCUUACCCGGGCUUGAAUUGCAGAGGAAGGAUUUAGAGAUAAUGACGCCCUUCGGGGUCUCUGUGAAGGUGCUGCAUGGUUGUCGUCAGCUCGUGCCGUGAGGUGUCGGCUUAAGUGCCAUAACGAGCGCAACCCCUGUCUUUAGUUGCCAUCAGGUUAAGCUGGGCACUCUGGAGAUACUGCCACCGUAAGGUGUGAGGAAGGUGGGGAUGACGUCAAAUCAGCACGGCCCUUACGUCCGGGGCUACACACGUGUUACAAUGGGGGGUACAGAAGGCCGCUACCCGGCGACGGGAUGCUAAUCUUUAAAACCUCUCUCAGUUCGGAUCGGAGUCUGCAACCCGACUCCGUGAAGCUGGAUUCGCUAGUAAUCGCGCAUCAGCCAUGGCGCGGUGAAUACGUUCCCGGGCCUUGUACACACCGCCCGUCAAGCCAUGGGAGUCUGGAGUACCUAAAGUCCGUAACCGCAAGGGUCGGCCUAGGGUAAUACAGGUGACUGGGGCUAAGUCGUAACAAGGUAGCCGUACCGGAAGGUGCGGCUG
rnacentral:rRNA from 1 species